UUCAGCACGGAAGCUUACUCUGACCAAUCAUCCGAUGUGGCCAGCUGACUGAUUGAUAGACCAAGGCCACGAGAUUACAACUCGUAUAAAUGCCACCGCUCUGCCUGCUCCAGUAUCAGAUAUUUCCCCCGAGAAACAUCCGACUCUUACUAACAUGGGCAAGGAAAGGACCAGCGUCAACAUGGCCGUCGUCGGCUACUACUAGACCUUCUAUCAGCAGAUGGACGGCUGGUACAACAUGGACAUGAACCGGCUUCUGUACACGGACACGCUCUGGACACGGACGAUACGAUGCUAGGCUCUCCCGGAUUAUUAUAACUUAACAUGAUUGGCUUUUUAUGAAAUAUAUCAAAAUUCUUCCGAUUAA